AAGUCGUAACAAGGUUUCCGUAGGUGAACCUGCGGAAGGAUCAUUAACACGUAUCCAACGUUAAACAACCCUGUGAACUUUCAGCCUGCUCUUGUAACCAUGAGGAACAGCAAUCCCGGUAAAUCAUUGCAAACAGUUUUGAUUCGGGACCUCUGUCCAAAAGGUGUUACAAUUGAGCGGUAGAGGCAGUGGCAUGGCUUCCCCAAGCAGUUAGUGAAUGACAGUGUCACUGAUUGUGUAAGGAUUUCGAUUAACGAUCACUGGAGGUCGAUCACCGACCGGUGGAUCAAGUCACUGGGCUUCCUACUUGGCCCCCUAUCACCCCACUUUCUAUUGCCGCUCCGCGCUAACAACGCCGGGCAUUUAAAAACGUAACUUACAACUGUUAACAAUGGAUAUCUUGGUUCUC
rnacentral:misc_RNA from 1 species